GGAUUAGAUACCCUGGUAGUCCACGCCGUAAACGAUGAUGGCUCGCUCUUGGCCCGCAGGGGUCAGGGGCUUAGCGAAAGCGUUAAGCCAUCCACCUGGGGAGUACGCCGGCAACGGUGAAACUCAAAGGAAUUGACGGGGGCCCGCACAAGCGGAGGAACAUGUGGUUUAAUUCGAUGAUACGCGAGGAACCUUACCCAGGCUCGAACGCCGAACGAAUGCCGGGGAAACUUGGCAGCCAGCAAUGGCGGUCGGCGAGGUGCUGCAUGGUUGUCGUCAGCUCGUGCCG
rnacentral:rRNA from 1 species